UACAGAGGUCUCAAGCGUUGUUCGGAUUCAUUGGGCGUAAAGGGUGCGUAGGCGGCGCGGUAAGUCGGGUGUGAAAUCUUGGAGCUUAGCUCCGAAACUGCAUUCGAUACUGCCGUGCUUGAGGACUGGAGAGGAGACUGGAAUUUACGGUGUAGCGGUGAAAUGCGUAGAUAUCGUAAGGAAGACCAGUGGCGAAGGCGGGUCUCUGGACAGUUCCUGACGCUGAGGCACGAAGGUCAGGGGAGCAAACGGG
rnacentral:rRNA from 1 species